rnacentral:rRNA from 1 species
UAGUCCAUGCCGUAAACGAUGAGUGCUAGGUGUUGGAGGGUUUCCGCCCUUCAGUGCCGGAGCUAACGCAUUAAGCACUCCGCCUGGGGAGUACGACCGCAAGGUUGAAACUCAAAGGAAUUGACGGGGGCCCGCACAAGCGGUGGAGCAUGUGGUUUAAUUCGAAGCUACGCGAAGAACCUUACCAGGUCUUGACAUCUUGCGCUAACCUUAGAGAUAAGGCGUUCCCUUCGGGGACGCAAUGAC